GAUGAACGCUGGCGGCGUGCCUAAUACAUGCAAGUCGAGCGAACAGAUAAGGAGCUUGCUCCUUUGAAGUUAGCGGCGGACGGGUGAGUAACACGUGGGUAACCUACCUAUAAGACUGGGAUAACUUCGGGAAACCGGAGCUAAUACCGGAUAACAUUUAGAACCGCAUGGUUCUAAAGUGAAAGAUGGUUUUGCUAUCACUUAUAGAUGGACCCGCGCCGUAUUAGCUAGUUGGUAAGGUAACGGCUUACCAAGGCGACGAUACGUAGCCGACCUGAGAGGGUGAUCGGCCACACUGGAACUGAGACACGGUCCAGACUCCUACGGGAGGCAGCAGUAGGGAAUCUUCCGCAACGGGCGAAAGCCUGACGGAGCAACGCCGCGUGAGUGAUGAAGGGUUUCGGCUCGUAAAACUCUGUUAUUAGGGAAGAACAAAUGUGUAAGUAACUGUGCACAUCUUGACGGUACCUAAUCAGAAAGCCACGGCUAACUACGUG
rnacentral:rRNA from 1 species